rnacentral:lncRNA from 1 species
UUGUUUCUAAAUGUGAAUAGUAAAAAGUUGAUUAUUCUAGCAGGGCCACACUCACCUAUCAAAUCCGUACUAAGUUACUGACUCUCUUUCUCUUUUUUCUUUUCUCUUUUCUCUCCAAACUCCAACACUCCAAGUAAUUUUCUUUCUUUACCUCUCUGUGCUAUUCCUGUUCCUAUUCCUAUGACCUCUUCAUUCAUCUUUGUUCAUUCACAUCCAUCUCUCACAUCUCCAUUAUUACAACUCUCCUUUUUUUACCUAAACACCAA